GACGAACGCUGGCGGCGUGCUUAACACAUGCAAGUCGAACGGAAAGGCCCUGCUUUUGUGGGGUGCUCGAGUGGCGAACGGGUGAGUAACACGUGAGUAACCUGCCCUUGACUUUGGGAUAACUUCAGGAAACUGGGGCUAAUACCGGAUAGGAGCUCCUGCUGCAUGGUGGGGGUUGGAAAGUUUCGGCGGUUGGGGAUGGACUCGCGGCUUAUCAGCUUGUUGGUGGGGUAGUGGCUUACCUAGGCUUUGACGGGUAGCCGGCCUGAGAGGGUGACCGGCCACAUUGGGACUGAGAUACGGACCAGAGUCCUACGGGAGACAGCAGUGGGGAAUAUUGCACAAUGGGCGGAAGCCUGAUGCAGCAACGCCGCGUGCGGGAUGACGGCCUUCGGGUUGUAAACCGCUUUCGCCUGUGACGAAGCGUGAGUGACGGUAAUGGGUAAAGAAGCACCGGCUAACUACGUG
rnacentral:rRNA from 1 species